GACGAACGCUGGCGGCGUGCCUAAUACAUGCAAGUAGAACGCACAGUUUAUACCGUAGCUUGCUACACCAUAGACUGUGAGUUGCGAACGGGUGAGUAACGCGUAGGUAACCUGCCUGGUAGCGGGGGAUAACUAUUGGAAACGAUAGCUAAUACCGCAUAAUAUUAAUUAUUGCAUGAUAAUUGAUUGAAAGAUGCAACUGCAUCACUACCAGAUGGAUCUGCGUUGUAUUAGCUAGUAGGCGAGGUAACGGCUCACCUAGGCGACGAUACAUAGCCGACCUGAGAGGGUGAGCGGCCACACUGGGACUGUGACACGGCCCAGACUCCUACAGGAGGCAGCAAGAGGGAAUCGUCGGCAAUGGACGGAAGUCUGAGCGAGCAACGCCGCGUGAGUGAAGAAGGUUGUCGGAUCGGAAAGCUCGGUUGUAAGGGAAGAACGGGUGUGAGAGUGGAAAGUUCACACUGUGACGGUAUCUGACCAGAAAGGGACGGCUAACUACGUG
rnacentral:rRNA from 1 species